rnacentral:rRNA from 1 species
AUUGAACGCUGGCGGCAGGCCUACCAAAUGCAAGUCGAACGAGUGGCGGACGGGUGAGUAAUGUCUGGGAAACUGCCUGAUGGAGGGGGAUAACUACUGGAAACGGUAGCUAAUACCGCAUACCAUCAGAUGGGCCAAGAUGGGAGUCGCUAGUGGGUGGGGUAACGGCUCACCAAGGCGACGAUCCCUAGCUGUUCUGAGAGGAUGACCAGCCACCCUGGAAUGGAGACACGGUCCAGACUCCUACGGGAGGCAGCAGUGGGAAAUAUUGCACAAUGGGCGUGAGCCUUAUGCAGCCAUGCCGCGUGUAUGAAGAAGGCCUUCGGGUUGUAAAGUACUUUCAGCGGGGAGGCGUUACCCGCAGAAGAAGCACCGGCUAACUCCGUGCCAGCAGCCGCGGUAAUAC